GACGAACGCUGGCGGCAUGCCUAAUACAUGCAAGUCGAGCGAACAGAUGAAGUGCUUGCACUUCUGACGUUAGCGGCGAACGGGUGAGUAACACGCGAGGAAUCUACCUAUAAGCGGGGGAUAACAUUCGGAAACGGGUGCUAAUACCGCAUAAUAUCUUCUUCCGCAUGGAAGAAGAUUGAAAGACGGCUCUGCUGUCACUUAUAGAUGACCUUGCGGUGCAUUAGUUAGUUGGUGGGGUAACGGCCUACCAGGACGAUGAUGCAUAGCCGACCUGAGAGGGUGAUCGGCCACAUUGGGACUGAGACACGGCCCAAACUCCUACGGGAGGCAGCAGUAGGGAAUCUUCCGCAAUGGGCGAAAGCCUGACGGAGCAAUGCCGCGUGAGUGAAGAAGGCCUUCGGGUCGUAAAACUCUGUUAUAAGAGAAGAACAAAUUGUAGAGUAACUGCUACAGUCUUGACGGUAUCUUAUCAGAAAGCCACGGCUAACUACGUGCCAGCAGCCGCAGUAA
rnacentral:rRNA from 1 species